UUGUCGAGAGACGGGUACCCGCGAAUACGAGUGUCGUCGUAACAAUCUGCGUACUGAGCACUGAAGGACUUGUUACUCGCGGCGUACUGUAAACUCUAGGCCGUCAAUUGGUUUUAAUUUAAAGCUGCUUUAUGUAGUUUUUUUUUCUACACGAAGAAACAAUGGCAAACUACGAACACAGCAAUUUAGGAACAACGCACAUGGCUUGCGCUCAGGCGGUUACGGCAAGGCCGCGUCGCGUUGAAUUUAUGUGGUUUAUAUUUCGGCAAAAAUGAGACAGAAAUUGUUAGUUUCUGUACUCAUACCGAAUUGAAAUAAGUAGACAAAUGAACCAGUGCUCUGGCUCGCUGUAUUAUAUUAAACUAGACAUGUUUAGUCUAGCCAGAAACCAUUUUUUCUCGAGAAAAAUGUAUUUUUUAAAUUAAAUACCGAAUGAAUGAGGCGGAUUGCAGGCCAACGCGAGCUGCUUUACUGUGUUUUUAAAUGCCAGUUGCUUAAUUUCACAGAGCAUCCGAAGCGUGUAUCCAACAUGAGUUUUAUCAUCACAGGUUCAAAUACUACUCUGUACCAUUUUAUUUAUUACUAUCGUAUUUUGAGUUAAUUUACAUAAUCAUAUUCAUUUUACUCUUUUUUUCUGCCUGUCAACUAAAAUGUCCAUCGAUUUUUGCCCAGUUUUUAAUUUAAUAAAUUAUAUUAUUUGUCUCUUUUCCAUGAGACUAGAAAAUGCAUGCUGAUUAACUCAUACUUUGUUUUAUUAAUGGAGGUUUUAGUUCCAUCUGGUCUACUUUCCAUCCUGUGAAAAUGUGUGACGACAAAACAUUGUCGUAUUUUCAUGAAUGCAAGUUGGAAGACAAGUGUUGAAAACAUUGGCAAAGACAGAUAAACUUUGUACAGAAUUGCCGAGAUCUAGCAUAAAACUCUUUUUCACCAUCUCAGUUGUCUACAAAAUUAACAAUUUUCCCUGUUUUUCCCUCUUCUGCCCUGAUGUGUAGGCUCAAAUGCGUAAAGCCCAACCAUCAGGGCAACAUACACCUCUUCUCAAAGAGAGGCCUGGUGCUGAGACUCAUUCCGGAGCCUUCUCCACAAGGUCAACACCAUCAUCAUCAUCAGAGGAGUCUGUGUCAUCCGCCCAAAGUGGAGAUGACCACAAACCAGCAUUCAGUGAAGGGAGGGGGUCCCGGUCGUCCAACAGCAGUGGAUCAGAAAAGGACCACAUUGAUUUGCAUGAAGCUAAGGCCCUCAAGGCAAAAUGUAAAUCAAAACAAAAAGGUAUGAAAUCGAAAGGAACAGAGAAGUUAAAUGAUGGCCAAAAAAGGAACUACCACCAAUCUUUGUGGAUGUGACACGUGCCUCAGAAAAUACGCACAAGAGAGCAAGGCCAAAAACCCAGAACUGUUGAGGUCAACAAAAUUAAGGAAGCAUGUUGCUACCUUAUGUCAGCUUCUCGACCUGAACAAUCAGGAACUCGAGCAAGUUGCUCGUUUUAUGGGACACGACAUUAGAGUCCAUUGUGAGUUUUAUCGGCAGACCGAUAAAACUUUCCAAGUGGCCAAGAUUGCCAAACUACUGUUUGCGAUGGAACGUGGGACAGAGUCGCUGAAGGGAAAGAGUCUGCAAACCCUGGACUCUGUUAUCACUGGAAGAGCACAUGCAGCCACCUCAACCAAAGGUCUGAAAAGUGGCAAAAAGAGAAGACCAGAUCCAGGGAGACGACAGGAAGCUCAAGAUGAAUGAGAAGUGCCACAUUCAGCUGUAGCAACGAGAUCUGAUGAUGAAGAUGAUGGAGGCGGUAACAGUACCAACUUGGACACUGAAAACACAGGCACCUACAAAAGGCCACAGAAGAUGCAGUCAAUUAAAGAAAGAAAUUAUGCUGAUGACGCUGAUGACGACAUGAGUGAUGUUUCUGGCAGUGAAUAUGGCGGUAAUGUUUUUUUGUCCGACUUGAAUCCUCUUUUGCUGUAUUAUUGGCAUAUUUCUGAGAUGCAUGUGGAAAGAACUUUGAUUCUAUCAAAACAUUAUUUUAUAGAUGGAGGGGUGUGCCAUAAGACAGUUAAGAAGACUGUCAAGAAAAAAAAGACAAUGUUGGGAAGACAUGGAUUGGGUGAGUCUCUAACAUUGGCACAAGUGACAUGUUACAGACCUGGCAUUAGUACGAUUUUUUUUCUUACUCUAAGUCAGGGGUGUCAAACUCAUUUCACUCUGUCAAACUCAGGCCACAUUGGCCUCGGUAGAUGUUAAGUGGGCCGAGCCAUUAAAAUUAUACCGUACUCUGCUAUAAAGAAGCACAAGAACAUUCGGAAAUGUAGAAAUUUAAUGAACAUAUCUUUUUACAAAACAUUUCAUGAAGCACCUUAGAUUUCCUUAGACAAAUGUACGAUUGACUUUUAUCAUUCACAUAUAUGCAUCGCAACUGAUUGUACAAGGGCACUAAACAAGUAAUUGGUGUUGAAAAAUACAGUGAUGCGCUUUUAGAUUAAAGGAGAUUUGUGAAGAAAGGAAUUUUUAAGCCUUGUGCAUAUAAAUUAUAAAUUUAAUCCCUGCCUAUACCUUACAAACUAAAGAGAGUGCCAUUAAAUGUGUAAAGAAUAAUGAAUUAAAAUGUCCUUGAUAGCAUCUGCUGUUUUGGGUCCGUCCGUCUCAGUGACAGACUUAGACUGCUGUUGUCUUCUUCUCAAAACAAUGUGUCUUUCUACUCUGAUCAAAACGGUGUGUCCCCUAGCGGAUACUCCAUGAAUUGCAUGUUAUUCAAAAUUUUCGUUCCAUGUCUUUUCUGCAUUUUUUUCACUUUUAAAUGAUCCUGCGGGCCUGAUCAAACCUGCUUGUCGGACGGUAACGGCCCGCCGGCCGUAUGUUUGACACCCCCGCUCCAAGUCCUGAUUGUUUUUUGUACAUUCCAAUAUAUCAGGAAUUACAAAUGUGUAUCA